AUAGACGGGGACCCCGCACAAGUGGUGGAGCAUGUGGUUUUAAUUCGAAGAUACGCGAAGAACCUUACCUAGCCUUGACAUAUUUUAGAACACCCUAGAGAUAGAGUGGUGCCUUCGGGAGCUAAUUUACAGGUGCUGCACGGCUGUCGUCAGCUCGUGUCGUGAGAUGUUGGGUUAAGUCCCGCAACGAGCGCAACCCUCGUCACUAGUUACUAAACGGUUCGGCCGAGGACUCUAGUGAGACUGCCUUCGUAAGGAGGAGGAAGGUGAGGACGACGUCAAGUCAUCAUGGCCCUUACGGCUAGGGCAACACACGUGCUACAAUGGGCAGGACAAUGAGACGCGAUACCGCGAGGUGGAGCAAAUCUAUAAACCUGUUCUCAGUUCGGAUUGUAGUCUGCAACUCGACUACAUGAAGCUGGAAUCACUAGUAAUCGUAGAUCAGCUAUGUUACGGUGAAUACGUUCCCGGGUCUUGUACUCACC
rnacentral:rRNA from 1 species